rnacentral:miRNA from 10 species
UUUAAAUGCAGAUUCCUGGGCUCUACUCAUAUGGAAUUCUCAAUCAAUAUCACAGAAGGUGUGAGUCCUGGAAUCUGCAUUU